UUUGACGCGCCUCGUCGUCCUCCUCCUCGCCCCGGCUAUGGCCUGCGAUGAGCCCUUCUCUCCGCCAUAGCCAGCCACCAUCCUGUUGUGCUUGGCUUCGGUCCGCUUCUAUUCCGCCGCAGCGCGUGUUGGACCGGAGUCUUCCACUUCAUCAGGGAGCAGGACAGCCCAGGGAUUUUUUGGUUUGGCAAUGUUGAAGUUACAAGGCGCUGCCGCGCGAGGGAAGAGGAGCAUGCAGAGAGACUAUCUGCUUUCCGUGAACUGAAGGCGCUUCGUUGCACGCCUUUUUGGUUUCGUUCUAGAAGUGUUCUGAAGGAUUUCGCGUUGCGGAAGCAGGGAGCUGAGGUAGCUUGCAAUAGGUGCAGGGGGUUCUCAGCAGUGGUUGCUAUAUAGGAGGUCAGGAGUAGAUUUGUACUCGACAUUAUUCGCCACUGGCUCCGUAGCUUGAAAGAUUGAUUAGAAGAGGAAUGACAGAAGUGGCCGAUGGAAAUCCAGUAACAAUGUCAGCAACUAAAGAUACCUUGUUACCUGGUAGACAGGAGGGCUUCGUGUCAUCGGGGCUGUCUCCUUGCUCAAACGCUCCUGUGGAUGCCUCGUCUAAGAUUCGAGUAGAAAAUGUGGUUCAGGCAGAGACCCCGAGUGGAGAUGGUCCUUCCGGAAAGGUCAUCUUGGAUUCUGAUAGUUUAAUUCAAGAAACUGCAGCGGGCUGUGAUGAGGUCGUUCUUUCGGCAGUGAAGCAAAUAGUGUCGGAUGGAGCAGAUGACUUGAAAACAUCUCUUGGCGAUUUGCAGCAGGAUUCGCAGGAUAUUACGGACAGCUCCAUUGAAGAACCGGUCGUGGAUGCUUCGAAAGUAGAUGUUGCUGAAGAGUUACCUGCCGUGGAGGUACUUGCUGUGAAGACAACUAUAGUAGAAAAAUGUGUUAUAGAAGUAUCUACUGUGGAACCAACUUCUGUGGAUAAUGCUACUGUGGAAGCACCCGCCGAGGAAGCACCUGCUGAGGAGGUAGCAGUGAAGGCAGACCCGAAGGAGGAGACGCUUAUCUUUUCUGAAAGUGCUUGUGUUCAGGAUGCUGUUCCUGGUGCAACUGGAAUGAGAAUAGAUGCUGAGGAUCAUACUGUGGAAGAAAAAUCCGCAGAUGAGGGUGUUGGAGGUGAGCAAAAUUCACAUCCUACUCCACUGAAGGAUGAAAGGCAGAACGUUGCAUCGGAUUCUAGAUCGGUUAAAGAAUCCCCAUUGACCGGGACCCAAGCCACUGGUCGACAACCCCUUGAUGAGAGUAAGGCCCUUCUUAAUGGGGAAACAAGGAUGGGCGAAGUAGUAUCUGCUGGUAGUCACGCUAUCACUUCAUCGACUGCCACUGGAGCUAAAGCGGCCAAUGAAGUCACUAGAAGUAAAACGGGUGAUACCACUGCUAAAACUGUCGAUGAGACUGCCGAGAAGCUUCUGGACGAAAUGCCGGAUAGAGUGGUAAAUCAGUUUGCCGAUGGUGUGGCGGAUAGUAUGGCUGAUGCCCUUGCCGACAAACUUGCUGAUGAGAUUGCUGACCGAAUGGCGGAUGAGAUUGUUGACAAGAUGGCUGAUGAGAUGGCUGGUGGUAUAGCCGAUGACACAAUAGCGGAUGAGAUUGCGGAUAGGAUGGCAGAUGAAAUGGCCGAUAGGAUGGCAGACGAGAUGGCUGAUAGAAUGGCAGAUGAAAUGGCUGAUAGGGUGGCAGCUGAAAUGGCUGAUGAGUUGGCAGAUGAAAUGGCAGAUGAAAUGGCAGACGAAGUAAUUGAAGGGGAAUAUGGUAGGGAUGAAAGAGCUCAAGAGAAUGAGGGAAUGGUUGAUAGAGAAACUCAUGAAGUUGGUGACAUGGAAGAAGAAGUGGAAAUGGUCGAAGAUGGGAACAAGGUGAUGGACGACGAUGAUUAUGAAGACGAUGAAGGAACUCCAGAGGAGCAGAUGACAUUCGUAGAAGAGCUGGAGCGUUUCUUUAAGCGACGGAAUCUGGAAUACAAGCCCCCGAAGUUUUAUGGACUGGAGUUGAACGUUCUGAAGCUUUGGAGGGUAGUGUCCAGAUAUGGUGGCUAUGAUCAUGUUACAGUCAGCAAACUUUGGAGGACAGUUGGUGAAGAAUUUAAACCUCCCAAGACAUGUACGACUAUUUCAUGGUCAUUUCGAGGUUUCUAUGAGAAGGCCCUACUGGAUUACGAGAGGUUCAAGACUGGUGUAACUGCACCUGACAGUGGCCAAAGAUCAAUUCAAACACCUGGCUAUUAUCUGACAAAUGAUCAGCGAACAUCAUCCCCCGCUACCCCAUCAUUUGAUCCCAAUGCGGGUGGAACACCGGGAUCAGGAUCUGGACGUGCACGAAGAGACGCAGCAGCACGGGCAAUGCAGGGAUGGCAUUCGCAGCGUAUGGGCAAUGGAGAUUCUAAAGAGCCAAAUUCAAAGGAAAAAGGCUCUGGUGGGAAGCAUGUGAAGAAAGAAAGAAAGCUAACGAAUAUAGGAGGAAAUGGGCUGAAGCGAAAAGGGUCAAAUACGGUCCUUGAGAGGGCUGUGAAGGCUGUUCAAGCCAGAGGAAGACCAAGAUUAUUUGAAGACAGUCCGCCUAGUAAUUCUGCAGUAACUGGCAAACGAAGUAUGAAGCAACAGGACUCCGGAAGACGUCCCAUGAAGGUUGCUAAAGUGGAUGGACCAGCAGGUGGUUUUGAUCCUCCGAUUGUUGACGAGGGCCCUAAAGCUGAUUGGGUCAAAAUCAAUGUACAUAAACAUCUAGAUUGUUUCGAAAUUUAUGCACUGGUUCCCGGGCUAGCUCGUGAGGAGGUCCGGAUCCAAUGUGAGCCUGGAGGCAGGCUAGUGAUUGCUGGAAUGCCUGAGGAUCCAGAGAAUCCCUGGGGCGUGACACCUUUCAGAAAAAUGGAGAAUGCUUGCUUGGAUAAGAAGCGAGGGAGCAGGUUCAAUGUGUAGGAGAACAUGUUUCUCAAGUUAGGUCAAAGGCAAUUAUCUUGCGCAGGAAGAUGUCUUAACAGGGUAGGAGCUUGUAAAGGCAAUGCCACAUGCUGGUGUAUGCACUCAAAUCUGUUUGAGCUGAAGAAGUAUGUCAUGAACAGAACUGCAUACCUUUACGGGCAUUCUGCAGCGAAGUCAUCUAGGUCCAUGUACAUUAUAAUUCUCUCCCGAAGGAAGGAGUUAUGUUGCCCUACAACUGCAGAGGAUGACUUGUUCAUUUUCAUGAGUGUAGGACCCACACCACUGCAUUUUGAUUAUGGCAGUCGCGCUCUUUUUAAACCUCCUGCAUUCCCUUCUCGCAUUCUUCACUUCUAAACCUGCGCCACAUUUCAACGCAUCUAAAGGCGGGAAGACAAUUCUAUAGAAUCCUUCAAGAUAUCCAUGGAUCGACUAGAAUUUUAUCAAAUUUUUUUGCUGCGUAUUUAUAUAUAUUCACACAUACGCGCACACACAUACACAUAUAUGCCAAACGUUGAUACAGAAGAUGAGCAUGUAAAGGUUGUUGUUAAUGCC